CCUACGGGAGGCAGCAGUGGGGAAUAUUGGGCAAUGGAGGAAACUCUGACCCAGCGACGCCGCGUGCGGGAUGAAGGCCUUCGGGUUGUAAACCGCUUUCAGCAGGGAAGAAGCGAAAGUGACGGUACCUGCAGAAGAAGCACCGGCUAACUAUGUGCCAGCAGCCGCGGUAAUACAUAGGGUGCAAGCGUUGUCCGGAAUUAUUGGGCGUAAAGAGCUCGUAGGUGGUUCGUCACGUCGGAUGUGAAAAUCUGGGGCUUAACCCCAGACCUGCAUUCGAUACGGGCGAGCUUGAGUAUGGUAGGGGAGUCUGGAAUUCCUGGUGUAGCGGUGGAAUGCGCAGAUAUCAGGAGGAACACCAAUGGCGAAGGCAGGACUCUGGGCCAUUACUGACACUGAGGAGCGAAAGCGUGGGGAGCGAACAGGAUUAGAUACCCUGGUAGUCCACGCCGUAAACGGUGGGCACUAGUUGUGGGGACCUUCCACGGUCUCUGCGACGCNGCUACGACAUAGUGCCCGCCGUCGGGAGGUACGAGUCGCGAAGUAAGUUAAACUUAACUUAAAUUAGUAAGUUAGUUACGGCGUUGAGACGNGCCGACGGACGACGACGAGGGAGGAGG
rnacentral:rRNA from 1 species